rnacentral:rRNA from 1 species
CCUACGGUAGGCAGCAGUGGGGGAUAUUGCACAAUGGGGGGAACCCUGAUGCAGCGACGCCGCGUGGGUGAAGAAGCGCCUCGGCGCGUAAAGCCCUGUCAGCAGGGAAGACAAUGACGGUACCUGAAGAAGAAGCCCCGGCUAACUACGUGCCAGCCGCCGCGGUAAUACGUAGGGGGCAAGCUUUAGCCGGAUUUACUGGGUGUCAAGGGGGCGCAGACGGCGAUGCAAGCCAGGAGUGAAAGCCCGGGGCCCAACCCCGGGACUGCUCUUGGAACUGCGUGGCUGGAGUGCAGGAGGGGCAGGCGGAAUUCCUGGUGUAGCGGUGAAAUGCGUAGAUAUCAGGAGGAACACCGGUGGCGAAGGCGGCCUGCUGGACUGCAACUGACGUUGAGGCCCGAAAGCGUGGGGAGCAAACAGGAUUAGAUACCCGAGUAGUC